rnacentral:rRNA from 1 species
AUUGAACGCUGGCGGCAGGCUUAACACAUGCAAGUCGAGCGGGGUGAUGGUGCUUGCACUAUCACUUAGCGGCGGACGGGUGAGUAAUGCUUAGGAAUCUGCCUAUCAGUGGGGGACAACAUCUCGAAAGGGAUGCUAAUACCGCAUACGUCCUACGGGAGAAAGCAGGGGAUCACUUGUGACCUUGCGCUAAUAGAUGAGCCUAAGUCGGAUUAGCUAGUUGGUGGGGUAAAGGCCUACCAAGGCGACGAUCUGUAGCGGGUCUGAGAGGAUGAUCCGCCACACUGGGACUCAGAAACGGCCCAGACUCCUACGGGAGGCAGCAGUGGGGAAUAUUGGACAAUGGGGGGAACCCUGAUCCAGCCAUGCCGCGUGUGUGAAGAAGGCCUUAUGGUUGUAAAGCACUUUAAGCGAGGAGGAGGCUCUUUUGGCUAAUACCCAAGAUGAGUGGACGUUACUCGCAGAAUAAGCACCGGCUAACUCUGUGCCAGCCGCCGCCGUAA